ensembl:lncRNA
GUGCUCGCUCCCGUGACGCUGAUUUGCUCGGGCGGUGAGUUACGUAAACUACGAAGGGCAACUAACUCAAAGUGAUAUAACAAAUAUUGCAUGACCGUUGCCUUGAAAGAUAUAAAAGCACUGUAAGUCAGUAUCCAUUUAACUGCCGUACUUUGCUUAAAAUGACUGUGAAUACCGCAUAGUCAUUGUUUACAUGAAUUGUUUAGACACUGAACCUUUUUAAGGCCAAAAGUGUCCAGGGGGGGUCCUCAUACAUUUGUCCUGCUGCUGAUGCCACCCUGCUGUGACUGUCCCACCCUGACUGAGCUGUUGUAUAAGAAUAUCCACCCCAGUGGAUCUUCUGCAGUGAAUGGGUGCUGUCAGAAUGAGAGUCAGAUGUCUGAAUAAGGUGCAGAAUAGUCCCUUUAAGGUAACUGCACCAUUGACAAGCUGUUGUUACUUUUGAAAGAAAAGCAAAAACACUUUUAUGUCAAAAAUUGAGAAAGGAUUAACUCAGGUUAACUCUGCACUGUACAGAUUCAGAAUGUCAACCUGUUAGUCCAGCCUUUCUGCUUUAAAAAGGUCAUGUCACAGCACGUGGUUUAUCUUUUUAAAACCUUGGUAUAUGCUCGAAUGGAUUACAGUUAUGAGUAGUUAAGUCAGGAAUCAGUCAAAAAAUUAUAUUGUUUGUUAAUUAUUUAUCAUCAGCAGUUUUUUUGUCAGUAUAUUUUGACUAUUUAUGUUUAAGGCUAUUUGUGACCAAAUUAUCUUUUAAAUAGAACUAAAAAUGCAAUAAAUGAUUUGUCUACUGCAGAUGAACAGAGUUAAAAUACUUAAUUCAUAUUAAUUUACUUUUUAAUCUAAAAGAGUUAAUGUUAUGUCAAAUGUUUCUUCUCUCUUACCCACCUAGAGCCCAG